rnacentral:lncRNA from 1 species
CCUGGUUGUAAUUAAGUACUUCAAAGUCUUCCAAACACCCUUUUAGAAAUGACUGCCCCAAAUACAAAAUGAUGUCCAAUCAGAUGUAAAUCAUCCCACAGCAGGGAGGGAGAGGCCUAGGUAGCAGUCAUCAGCACUUGGACUAAUCAGAAAGUCUGGUCCCUUGAUGAGGAUUUUCGUUUUCUCAUUUGUCAUUCUAGCCACUGAGGUCUCAAGCGGCCAAUUUGCUCCCUAUUGGUAAUCAGCUAGUUAUUUUUACUCUCAUUCCUCCCUCUGGGACUGUCAAACUACUUGGAGCAAUUCAUCACCCAUUUGGGCCAGACUCUUCUAUGACGGGAAGUGAGGGAAGAAAGAGACUAUUCUGCAAAAGAUAAAAUUGAAGACUAUUCCAUCAUUUAUAUUCAGUUUUUAAACAAUGAUUUCCCCAAUGAGGAAGCUGCCUCUCUAAAAAUUAUCAACGCAGAAAGGAGCAUAUGAAGGCUGUAGCAGACAUUAGUGGUUAUCCUAAACCACGCUACCCUGCUGCCACCUGGGAGGAAGAUCAAGAUGUAGAACUCGGAACUACCUCUCCAGCACCAUGUCUGCCUACACACUGCUGCCAUGUUCCCACUAUGAC